GCUCAGCAUCUGCCCUCCAGCUCCUUACGAGCCACCUUGUGCGGAAAGGAGGAGGGAGGAGGGCGCCUUGGCAUCCUACAGACAGCCUUGGGAUGGGCUCCGAGCGGGGACAGACUUCCCCGAAGCCUCCCUCGACUCAGUGCUUCUUCACCCUGCAUCCACGGCGUGCACCAACACCCCAGGAGGUACUCUGAGACACGACAGAAGCAGCAGGAGGUAUAAUUGGCACUAAUUGCGGAGAAUAUUUAAGCCUGUUCUCAGUGUCACCAACUCCUUGCAGGCACAGGGUGCGUCCCCAGUGCCACCGUCCGUCCUGCAGGGACCCCAUGGGUUCAGGGUCCCUGUCCCACUGCCCAGCUCUCCCCAUCCCCAACGGGGCAGCCCCCAGGAGCAGCACCCCGAGCACAAGGCACAGAACAGAGAUCCUGGACCUGUCAUGCACUGGGGACAGAUGUGUGCACACGCAGGGCUGCUGAAUCUGCAGGGACAGGGAAACACGACGGGGAAAACAGGGGAAGGGGGAGCGGGCAGGCUGUGUAAGGCCGGUUAUUUGCCCAUACAAGGAGGGAACGAGGGAGCUCUGCCGUUCACGGGAGACCAGCGAGACUCCUUGAGCACAGUGAGCCGUCCACAGAGGGUCAAAAAAGGAUGAAAAGUUGCUCUUGGAGAACCUAAAAUAGUUCGAAAAACAGGAGAUCCGACAGAGAAAGACAUGAUUCAGCAGGGGAUGAAGGGACUCUCAGCCAGAAGGUAAAUGUUUUCUUUAUUCUCUUCAACUCGUGGAAGAUAAAUGGGCACAACUUCGGUCUCGCUCCUACCCCAGGGAGUACGUGACCUGAACGAGCGCGUAAAUAACCAGCCGGUGAGACACCUCGCUCAGGGAAACGCUCACCGCCGUGCUCGGAGCAGAUGCUCAGUCUCAUUAACAAGACUGCCCAGGGUUAGGGUAACAAAGGAGUCCAGCAGCAAAGCCUGGAGCUGCAGGAAGCCUAAAGCAAUCUCAGAGUCGGGGCUCUGUGAGUUCCCCAUCCCAAGGGCAAGGGCUGCGAGGCAAACCUUGGCCAGUGACCGUGGUGGGGACACAGCUGGGAGAAGCCCACCCGCAGGAAACCCCACUUACUGCUCACUGCAGGACAGCAAGGAGAAGCCUUUCUGCCCCCCGAGGACUCCAAAUACUUCACCAAGUGCGCCCCAUGUGGGGCACAGAUUCACACUGAAGGCUGAUGCCAGUAUUUGGCAGGAUGGCACAGGGUCCUGCACACCGGCACACCCCUCCAAACCACCAAAUUAGAGCACCUCUUAAUGGGGCAGCAGAUGCUGCAGCUCCACCAACCAUGUUCCAGCACCGAGGAAAACAGCAGGAGCACGAGAAAAGCGAGGUUAAAAAAAUACAAAGCACCAGAGAGAACAAGAGCUGCUGGGCUGGAGGUGAGCAACGGCGACUGGAAGAGCUCGCAGCAAGACCAACGUCGCUGUUAUCUCUGCUCAGACUCAGAAGUCGGAGGGUUGGGGACUACCUCGAAAUGAUGCGCACUUGUCAGAGCCACUUGGAGCUACCCGGACACCAGGGCCAUGCUGCAGGCACACGGCCUGGCUGCCCACCGCCACUGGUGAGGAGCAGCCGGGAGAAGCAAAGCUCCUGUGCUGCUUCCUAACGUGAGGCUGAUCUUCAGAGGGAUGGCAACAGCCCCUUUCAAACCCCGGGCCAAGGCAAGGACUCGAGCAGUCUGGCUACCAGCCUCAGUCAGGGGGUUUACCAGCACUCAGUAUUGCAUUAGACAAUUAACAUUCCCUCAAUUUGUUACGUUUGGCUGGGGAAGGAAGAUACAGGGAAUUAAUUCUUGAACAGAUCAUGCCAUUAGCUGGUGGGACUGCCAGUUACGUUGCACAGAGGCUGGGCUUUUGCAGCCCUGCUUUAAUAGGCAUCAGAAACACCAGCUCUGCAUCAGGCUGCUGGGCUCUUAGUGAUUCUUGGACAUCUCUUCGGGUAUGGCCAAUAAACCUGGAAUGGAAACAAUUUCUGUCUGGAAAAAUCAUAAGCCAUCUCCAAGAAAGCUCUUGCUUCUCCCUGGAGAGGAGAGGGGGGAGAGGAAAACACAACUGCAGACAUUUAGCAUGCAUGGGAAGAGAAAACAGCAGGAACCACUGAGCUGCACCGGCUAAAUUUAGGGUGCUCAAACCCCGCUCGCUGAGCUCCGUGCACCAAGUGCUCAGCGAGGAGCUGGAGUGAGCAAGUGAGGGGGGCUGAGGACGGUGUGGGCUGGAGUCUGUGGGACAGACCCUCCCCAUACAUUCAGCUGCUGUUUCUACAGCUGAAGCAGGGGGGAAGAGAGCUCCUCCAGCGCGGCCCUGGAUAGCGCUUGGGCACCCACCCAGUCUGUCCCAGCCCCGACCGCUUCCCCUGCUCGCUGCUGGGGUGGACACGGUGCCCCCUCAGCAUCCCCGGGACACGACCAUCACCCACCUUGCACGAGGAGCUUCUGGCCCCAACAGGCCUUUCACAUUUCUGUUCCACCACCCAGAAGAGAGAGCACAGGACUCUUUUGGUCCCAUCACUUAAAGCACGCCCCGGCACACCGCACCCUUCCUUCUCCCGAAACGCUCCACCUUACGGGCAGAAAAUGCUACUGUAACCUGGUUAUCACCGAUAAAGGAUGUCUUUUCUAUUUCAGUGUAAAGAGAAGUGCUAAAAAUAGCUUGCAGGAAUAAAGAGGGAGCAUUUUGCAGCUGACUUGCAAAUAGCAACUGUCAUAGCACGGCCCUGGGGAGUGGGGCUGCUGCUACAGGAGCCGAACAGCAGCGCACCAAGAAGGAUGAACAGGUGACACGUGUCAGCCUGCUGGGGAAGGGCACAAAUCCUCCACCCAGAGAGCACAGCCCAGCCUUUUGGGCAGGAAAGAAACUAAUUGUCUCUUCUUUGGCCCCCUGCUUUCGCUAGCCAUGAUUCAUGGGCUCUGCUCUGCCCCAGCUGAAUGAGGAUGGUUUUAAUGAAGUUAAAGAUUAGCGGGUUUGCGGUGGGAUUGCUUUUAAGUAAAUGCGAUUCUGUUACUGACCUGAAGGCACAGGGAGGAAAAGGACACCUCCAGGCUGUCAAGGACAAGCACAGGACCAGGUGCUCGAGCACCUGCAGGAGGUAUCAGCUGCGCCCCCAAGGCUCAGAACCAGCUGCAAAACCCAAUUCAGAUGGAUGGAUAAGAGCCAUUUGCAAAGACCAAGCCAGGAACAUGAGCCAGCUACUGUGGGUGCCUCCACGCCACGCUGACGGCGUCACAGCACCUGCAGCACGGACACACCUCGGGACCGCAGGGGACAAUCGCUGUCCUUGCAGUCGCUGGGACACCCACGAGAGGGAGACAAGAUCCCACAGCACCGCCUGCAAGGCUCCAGCUGGAAGGCAGAGCUGGGAGCCCAGCCCUGCCCGCUCCAGGCAGCCGCAAGCAGAGCCCACCUGCAGCCCCUGCCAAACGCACGCCCAGCUCUCAUUCCCGACCUCAUGAAAAAGGUGACUGCAUGAAGAGUUUGUCUCUUUUGCGACACGUGUAUGUGUAAAACAAAAUUGUGUGUUCACAGAAUAUUAAGAAUUGUGUAUUCAGGCUGGAGCUGAAAUUGCCUAGCUGUUUUUUUUUCUGCGCAUUUUUACCAGCAGUGAGAAUUCCCAUUAUUCAGGAAAUCUGCACAGCAGCCUCUGAAGACUGCACUCCUGUGAUGCACGCUGCAGGUCGGGGCACAUGAAAUCUGUCCUCUUCAGUGUAAUUGAGGAGUGGCUGAAGGGCUCUUUGCCAGCUGCUUGCUCCUCUGCUCCUCGGAGGUGGCAGCAUUGCCCGGGCUGCACUCACAACUCACGUGGAGAUCACCCCGCAGUCGGUUCCCUCACAGCACGGCUGCUCUCCUUCACGUCCAUUCCGACGGAGAACUAGCUGUAAGUUUGCUUGUAAACCAAUCAGGAUUUGACUGACUAGAAGGACAGUGCUCGUUUCAAUAGAAAGCAGUACAAGGAGGGCUCGGAGCACCCGUGCCGAUUCCUCUCCUCCCGCACCCGUGGCUGUGCUCAGCCUCCGGCUCCCCAACACCCCUUGUUCGCUGCACAUCAGCAUGCACGGCGUGCAUCUGCACGGACAUGUGCAGGGAAAACGUAUCAUUAAUUUCUACCCUUGUCCAUGUGGAGUUUGUCUGACCUCUUUUCUAAAUCUAUUUUUAAAUCGCUUCUGGGAUGCUGCAUGCCAGGUACCACCGUUAUUCUGCUGCACCGUCAGCUUGCCAGGACGUCGCAGCACUCGUAUGAAAUAGGAUAGGAAACACCUGCACAGGUCACCCCGUCCACAGCCAGGCCUCGAGACAGAGCAGCUUCAUGCACAUCAUUCAUGAACCUCUUCCAUAAAUCACCCCCAGACAAUCUUUUUCCUUCCCCAUCUCUUCCCAGGCAGCCCUCAACACCAUUUUUUGAGCUGUCAGUUGGAAGCACAAGCCAGCCUAUUUCCUUUCCUUUGCCCUCGAUACAACACUUUGCGAUUCUCUCCUCCAAGACCUUGGGACUGCCCUCAGUUGCCCCAGCCUGUGACGGCCACGUACCGGCUGCUGUGUGCACACCACAGGAAGGCAGAGCGAGGCGUUGAGCCCACACAACCGCCUGUUUGCCAUCAGCUCGAGCCUUUAGAAGUGAUCCGCUCCUAAAAGGGGAGCUCCUUCCACUGCCUCUAGUACAUACGUGGAAUUUUUUGGGGCAUUUCUGGGGUUCAGAGAGCACUGAUCUUUUCCUGUAAAUAUUUUCUAAAAGACUUGUUCUCAUCCUCUCAGUGCACAAAGGGGUAAUUAAUAGGCAGGUUACCUGAACACAGCCAUGCAACCAAACGUGCAGCAGUGGCUUGAGCUGCGUGGCCAAAUUAAGCCGUUUGCUAUAUAUCCAGCAGGUGGAAGUUGUUCUGCCUUUAAAAACUGGGCCAGCAAGACGCACUUCAUCCAGAAGAACAGGGAAAAAAGUCUCCUCUGAGAAUGAUAAUGUAUUCAAUAGUUAUUUUAUCUGAGCAGAAAGAAGAAGACAUCAGAAGUCCAAUUUCAGAGAGCAGGAGCGCGCUGCCUCACAAUCGCUCUCAUCCAUAUUGGAUGUUCAGCUCUUUUAAAUUGCAUCUAACACACACAAAAGCGAAGUCACUAUCUAUCAGCUGUGGAGGAAGGCACAACUGGUUAGUUUAACAUUCAUUGCCCCUACCUUUAAAAUAUUUACAGCGCGUAUCAGGCAUUAUUAAUGCACGGUACAUCUGAGUGUAGCGUCCUGGGACUGGGCACACAGCCCCGUGCCUUGUCCAAGUGGAUGUGAGUGCUGCAGGAGCCUCCACGUUGGCAGUGAGAGGCUUUUGUGAACACCUGUCCCCGCAGCACCUAAAAUGAAGCGAACAGCACCAACUGCACAUCUCCUCCCAGGCAGGCAGCGUUCCUGUCUCUGCCUCCCAACAAGCUCCGCUCCCUCUUGGCCACUCCGCUUUCUGCAGCAUUUUUAGCACCGUGACGUGCUGUCUUAU